rnacentral:rRNA from 1 species
GACGAACGCUGGCGGCGUGCCUAACACAUGCAAGUCGAACGGAGAUAUGAUUUCGGUUGUAUCUUAGUGGCGAACGGGUGAGUAACGCGUGAACAACCUGACUCUAAGAGGGGGAUAACACUCGGAAACGGGUGCUAAUACCGCAUAAGACCACGACCUGGCAUCAGGAUGAGGUCAAAGGAGCAAUCCGCUGAGAGAGGGGUUCGCGUCCCAUUAGAUAGAUGGCGGGGUAACGGCCCACCAUGUCAACGAUGGGUAGCCGAGCUGAGAGGCUGAUCGGCCACACUGGAACUGAGACACGGUCCAGACUCCUACGGGAGGCAGCAGUGGGGAAUAUUGGGCAAUGGGCGCAAGCCUGACCCAGCAACGCCGCGUGAGGGAAGAAGGCUUUCGGGUGUAAACCUCUGUCCUUGGUGACGAAACAAAUGACGGUAGCCAAGGAGGAAGCCCCGGCUAACUACGUGCCAGCAGCCGCGGUAAU